rnacentral:rRNA from 1 species
CAGCAGCCACGGGAAUACGGAGGGGGCUAGCGUUGUUCGGAAUUACUGGGCGUAAAGCGCGCGUAGGCGGCUUGGUAAGUUAGAGGUGAAAGCCUGGGGCUCAACCCCAGAAUUGCCUUUAAGACUGCCGAGCUAGUAGGUGAGAGAGGUAAGUGGAAUUCCGAGUGUAGAGGUGAAAUUCGUAGAUAUUCGGAAGAACACCAGUGGCGAAGGCGGCUUACUGGCUCAUUCUAGACGCUGAGGUGCGAAAGCGUGGGGAGCAAACAGGAUUAGAUACCCCAGUAGUCCCUGUCUCUUAUAA